rnacentral:rRNA from 1 species
UACGUAGGGAGCAAGCGUUGUCCGGAAUCAUUGGGCGUAAAGCGCGCGUAGGCGGCCUCGUAAGUCCGUUGUGAAAGUCAAAGGCUCAACCUUUGAAAGCCGAUGGAUACUGUGAGGCUAGAGUCCGGAAGAGGCGAGUGGAAUUCCUGGUGUAGCGGUGAAAUGCGCAGAUAUCAGGAGGAACACCAAUGGCGAAGGCAGCUCGCUGGGACGUGACUGACGCUGAGACGCGAAAGCGUGGGGAGCAAACAGG